GUCAUUUUCCGAGUAGUACCGAGGUUGUAGCUUCAAGAGAGAUUGAUUGAGUCAUGGCAAACCCAACUGAAACACAAUCAACAGAAAACUACAAAAGUUCUGAUGAUGAAUCAGAAAGUGAAUGUAUAUCACUUUCAAACUUAGAACUGAUAGUUCAACGGAAGUUUGACAAAUUCAAAGAAGAAAUUCUCGAGGAAAACAGAAGCGCC